rnacentral:rRNA from 1 species
GAUGAACGCUGGCGGCGUGCUUAACACAUGCAAGUCGAACGGGAAACUUUUCAUUGAAGCUUCGGCAGAUUUGGUCUGUUUCUAGUGGCGGACGGGUGAGUAACACGUGGGGAUCUGCCCAGUAGUGGUGAACAACUCCGAGAAAUCGGAGCUAAUACCGCAUACGCUCUCGGAAGGGAGUAAAGCCUCGCAAGGGGUGCUAUUGGAGGAACCUGCGGCUGAUUAGCUAGUUGGUGGGGUAAAGGCCUACCAAGGCGAUGAUCAGUAGCUGGUCUGAGAGGAUGGACAGCCACACUGGGACUGAGAUACGGCCCAGACUCCUACGGGAGCAGCAGCAAGGAAUUUUCGUCAAUGGGGGGAACCCUGAACGAGCAACGCCGCGUGGGCGAAGAAGUCCUC